GCAAGUCGAGGGGCAGCAUUACCUUCGGGUAGAUGGCGACCGGCGCACGGGUUCGUAACGCGUAUGCAACCUACCUAUCACAUAGGGAUAGCCUCUAGAAAUGGAGAUUAAUACCUAAUGGCAUCUAAGUGUUGCAUGACACUAAGAUUAAAGAUUUAUCGGUGAUAGAUGGGCAUGCGGGACAGUAGCGAGUGGGUAAGGGAACGGAGGAAAAAGGCAACGAUGUAGAGGGGAGCUGAGAGGAGUAGA
rnacentral:rRNA from 1 species